UACGUAGGGUGCAAGCGUUAUUCGGAAUUAUUGGGCGUAAAGGGCGCGUAGGCGGCCUUCUAAGUCGAACGUGAAAUCCCUGGGCUCAACCCAGGAACUGCGUCCGAUACUGGAAGGCUUGAAUCCGGGAGAGGGAUGCGGAAUUCCAGGUGUAGCGGUGAAAUGCGUAGAUAUCUGGAGGAACACCGGUGGCGAAGGCGGCAUCCUGGACCGGUAUUGACGCUGAGGCGCGAAAGCCAGGGGAGCAAACGGG
rnacentral:rRNA from 1 species